GGGGAUUUAGCUCAGUGGUAGAGCGCUUGCCUAGCAAACGGAAGGCCCUGGGUUCGGUCCCCAGCUCCG
rfam:Rattus norvegicus chromosome 5, whole genome shotgun sequence.